rnacentral:rRNA from 1 species
GAUGGACGCUAGCUACAGGCUUAACACAUGCAAGUCGCGGGGCAGCAUGGGGGUUGCUUGCAAUCCCCGAUGGCGACCGGCGCACGGGUGAGUAACGCGUAUCCAACCUGCCCUUCACCACGGGAUAACCCGGCGAAAGUCGGACUAAUACCGUAUGUUGUCCAUUGACGGCAUCCGAUUUGGACGAAAGGCUUGGCGGGGAGGGAGGGGGAUGCGUCCGAUUAGCCAGACGGCGGGGUAACGGCCCACCGUGGCUACGAUCGGUAGGGGUUCUGAGAGGAAGGUCCCCCACACUGGAACUGAGACACGGUCCAGACUCCUACGGGAGGCAGCAGUGAGGAAUAUUGGUCAAUGGGCGUAAGCCUGAACCAGCCAAGUAGCGUGCAGGAUGACGGCCCUAUGGGUUGUAAACUGCUUUUAUGCGGGGAUAAAGUGGCCCACGUGUGGGCUUUUGCAGGUACCGCAUGAAUAAGGACCGGCUAAUUCCGUG